rnacentral:tRNA from 1 species
GCUCAGUAGCAUAGUGGUUUAAAGCAUUCUCCCGGAAAGAGAAGGACCCGGGUUCAAUUCCCGGUUGAGUUG